UACGUAGGGGGCAAGCGUUGUCCGGAUUUAUUGGGCGUAAAGAGCGUGUAGGCGGCCAUACAGGUCAGCUGUGAAAACUCGAGGCUCAACCUCGAGACGUCGGUUGAAACCGUAUGGCUAGAGUCCGGAAGAGGAGAGUGGAAUUCCCGGUGUAGCGGUGAAAUGCGUAGAUAUCUGGAGGAACACCGGUGGCGAAGGCGGCGUCCUGGACCAACACUGACACUGAUGAGCGAAAGCCAGGGGAGCAAACGGG
rnacentral:rRNA from 1 species